rnacentral:rRNA from 1 species
UACGUAGGGUGCGAGCGUUAAUCGGAAUUACUGGGCGUAAAGCGUGCGCAGGCGGUUCGCUAAGACCGAUGUGAAAUCCCCGGGCUCAACCUGGGAAUGGCAAUGGAUACUGGCUGGCUAGAGUGUGUCAGAGGAUGGUGGAAUUCCCGGUGUAGCGGUGAAAUGCGUAGAGAUCGGGAGGAACAUCAGUGGCGAAGGCGGCCAUCUGGGACAACACUGACGCUGAAGCACGAAAGCGUGGGGAGCAAACAGG